AGAUCAUGACCCAAGCUGAAGUUGGUUGCUCAACAAACUGAGCCACCCAAGCCCCCCAGUAAGCUAACAUUUUUGAGCAAUUACUAUCUGCCCAGCCUUGUUCUAAGUGCUUGUCAUACAAUCUACACAAUAAUUUUAAAACAGGUAUUAUGUAACCUCCCCCUUCCCCACUCCAUGAAUGAACUAUGCCCAAAGUAACGCAGCUUAUAAGAAAUAGAGCCAGAGAAACAAAAUAAAUAACAAUUAUUGAUAGCUCAUUAUGUAUUAGGGCUUUAUAUACAGUAUUUCAUUAUUUCUCACACAGUCCUAUGAAACACAUACUUCUAUUAUUUCCAUUUUACAAAUAUACCAAAUUGGACUUGAAAUGGUUUUGUAACUUACCCAUACCUACACAGCUAAUAAGUGACAGGGCCAGCCUAGGGAUGCAGGAUUCCAAGUUCCUUCCAUUUACCCAGUCCUCUGUCCUCAUCACACACAGGUUCCAGGAUUAUAAAAAGGCUAACAUUUAUGGAAUCCCUAUUACAUGUCAGGUAUGCUCCUAAAUACCUAUAUUAACUCGUUGAUCCUCCAUGAGCUGGGUAUAAUUACUGUUACUAUUACUGAUGCCAUUUUGCAUUUGAAGAAAUUGAGGCAAACCAAUUUUCUCAGACACAUGAUGAAAAAAUGUCUACACUUAGGCUUGGACCCAACAGCUUAUCUUCAGACUCCAUGCUCUGAACUAUUGCAUCAUUAUGCUGCUUCUGAAUGUUCAUAUGACUAAAUUUAAAUAGCACUUAUUUAGAAAUCAUAUUCAUAUACCCACUAGAAGUUAACCCUAAGUCCAAAGCAUUUUAUCAUAUUCCAGGUAAGUUUUAUGCAAAAAUAGCAUAGCUUCCCCAUUUCCUAUAUUUCCAUGGUAAAGCUGGGGUGGAGAGGACUUCAAAAAAUUUAAAGGGCCAGACACUUGUUUAGAGACAAGACAGGAGAAGCUGGAAUAUUGACACCUUUUGUCUACAGGAAGCUUGGGAAGACAUUCCUGCUUCAGCACCCCUCCUGGUGAGGACAAGGAAGGGUUGGAGAAGUGUGUCCAGCUGGAGAAGUGAGAGUGAGGCACUGAGCUGUGAAGAAACUGCUAGAUGGAGUUAAUCCUGGUAGGAAGUUCUUUGGAAUCCCACCCCAAAGAUGGAGCAGGUAGUGAGACAUCUUCAGCUAACUUCCCUUUCAGGGAGAUAGCAGGGAGCUGGAAACUCCAGGCCUUUCCUUCUAAUAUAGCACCCUGGACCUCAAUCUUCUACUUGUGUCCUUUCAUCUUUGGUCACACCUCACUUAGAACUUGCUCCCUGGCAGCAAAAGGCAGAAGUCAUUAUGUAUUUGCACUGUGUAUCAUUAUUAUUAUUUUGUUAAUUAGAUGAAUUGAUAGAGCACUGAAUUAAACCAAAUUAGCAACUUUUUCCAUGGGUAUGCCCCCAUCUGUAAUAGUUACACUCUUUUAAAGUAUUAUCAACUGAUCCCUAGAGAAACUGGGAUGGAGGGAGGAGAAUAUUUAUUUAUUGGUUGAUUUAUUGAUUGAUUGAUUUAAUAUUAUUUAUUUCAUCUCCAUUUAGAAAAGGUAUGUGCUGUGUACUUUAUUUCUAACUCUCAGCAGGUUUCACAUGAUCAUGACUUACAGAAGUGAUGAAAAUAUGUUAAUUAACAAGGUUGUAACUCCCUAGCUGUGCUCUUAGUGUGAUUCGUGCUGUAUUUUAGUGGGAGGUGGGGGGAGAAGGUUAAAUGAUAUGCAAUGUUUUACACUGCAUAAUAAUUGUUACAUUUUGACAUGAAAUCAAACAUACCAAUACUAGAAAAGGAGUGCCCCAAAUGCCCACUCAAAGAGCCAGUGGUGUUUUUGAGGAAUUUUAAGCUCCCUGGAUUAUAGGAUGCCAUGAAUAAGAGGAUGAAUGGUAGGUAGGUUGGCUGGGGAAGUUUGACCCAAAAAUCUGGUGCGACAUUCCACAAAAAUAGGAUAGUUAUUAACGAGUGGCAACAGUGGGGAAAUGAUUACUGUGGGUUUGAAACAAAAAAUUAGUAAAUCAUAACACUAAAUGGAGAGGCCUGUGGCAGGUCUUGGAAGUGAGUUUAGAAUUCUGCAGAACUGAGCUGUGGUUGCAAGUGAGAAACAGGCUGGUGGGCCCCCAUGGCACUUGACUCUGCCUGGCCCUGGGUGCUUCAGGGAGAAGAAGCCUGCAGUACAGCCUAGAAUCUUUCCUGCCAGUACAGUACACCAAGAGCCUUGCCCCCUUUCUUCUCUUGCCUUCAGAGCCACCUCUGCAGCAAACCCCAGGCUGAGAAGUGCUCUGGGGACCUGGGCUCCACCACUGGGUUGCACCAGCAAGGAGGGUGCAGCUUCCUUGGUGAACUCGGUUGAGGCGGGGGGAAAGAAGGGGCACCCUGGCUGUGUUUGAAGAUGUGUGGUCCACAACAUAUACCACUUACUUGAUUGUUUCCUGAUACCUGAAAACAGUAAAGAUCUACAUGUUACGUGAAAAUGUACCGUAUUGAAAAAUAAAAACACAACCCACAAAUUGCACAAAAAUUCGUAUAAGCAUGAUUGUUUUACAAAAGGAGGCAAGAACGCAUUAGAAACGGGGUGUUAUAUGAUUGAAACAGUCUGCAACGCAUAAAUGUUUCUAAAACUCUCCCAGAAUUCCUGCCUGGUUUGUUUAGAAUCCAGAUGGUCCGCAUUGUGUAUUUUCAUGUAACCAGCCAUCCUAGCUGCUUGGGAAUCCUGUGAUGAAGGUCACUAAACCGACUGCUGGCUUCACAAUAGACAAAUGACAGAAAAUUAGGCAUGAAGAGAUGACAGAAUCUCCUUCCUUUCCAUACUAAACGUCUUGAAUGUGAAGACUUGCUAUCAAUUUUAAGAGGAAAGUUUUUUGUUGGAGCAGGAGAGCUAGGAUUAAAGCUAAAUCCUCUAAGUCUCCAAAUCCCAGGCUAUUUCUACCACCUGACAGUGUCUACUAAUAACAAUAUGCAAUCUCGAGGAUCAAGGACUUGUGAUUUCCACAUGAACCAGGUUAACAAUAACAGAGCUGGAGUAAGCACAUUCAAGUGAAUUGAGAUGGACUGGAACUCCUUCACUUGUUUAAAGGACUCCUUCUGAAUCACGAGUUCAUCCCAUCAGCCAGAGUGAACAUGUGUCCCUGGGAGACCUGGACCCAGACAAAGACUAUGUUUCCCAGCCCCACUGACAUGUAGGUUGAAUGAUUGAGGAGCCUAAAUAAACACAGCAGGAGAUUCAGCAAUGAGAGGUUUCACUGAAUGCAGACACAGAGCCUGUUAGUCCAAGGCUGGGGUGUGGAGGCCUCAUGCAACAGAGGAGAAAAAAGAAAAAGAUGAAUCGUCCAUGAAUCACAUUUUGAAAACAGUGCUCUAGGAAUCCAGAAGUUAUAGCUGGAAAAGCAAUGCUGAGGACAAAGUCCAGUGUGAAAGGUGAGGGUGAAGAUGGAAGAACAUUUAAUGGGGUCAGAAUUCCAAAGGAUGGGCAAUUAACCAGGACAUAAUGUUCAGAACAAGUAUAAGAAGUAAAUUUAAAGUUGGUGCAGCCACUUAAAAGGGUCAUGGCCUGGCACUCUAUCAUCAAAGAUAAU